CAGCCGCCGCGGUAAUACGAAGGGUGCAAGCGUUAAUCGGAAUUACUGGGCGUAAAGCGUGCGUAGGCGGUUUGUUAAGUCUGCUGUGAAAUCCCCGGGCUCAACCUGGGAAUGGCAGUGGAUACUGGCAAGCUAGAGUGUGUCAGAGGAUGGUGGAAUUCCCGGUGUAGCGGUGAAGUGCGUAGAGAUCGGGAGGAACAUCAGUGGCGAAGGCGGCCAUCUGGGACAACACUGACGCUGAGGCACGAAAGCGUGGGGAGCAAGCAGGAUUAGAUACCCGAGAGUCCCUGUCUCUUAUACA
rnacentral:rRNA from 1 species